UUGUAUGACAGAGAUAGUCUUCAACCUAUCAUUUCUCACUCAAUCAUCUCCUGAGAUGUAUGAAAGGUCUUGGAAUUCUGGAUUAGAACAAGAAGAAGCUUUGCGAAAUAUCAGUCCAGUCGUAGCUCGUUAAGUCAUGUGUAGUGCAAUUACAUCUGUAAUUUGAUGAUAAGUCUUCUUUAAUUUCAUCGCUGGAAACAACGAUUUGGGGCUUUUGUCUUGAUCGAUUGAUUGGAAUGGAAGGGUACUGAUAUGGGUUUAUUUAUUGUUUGUUUUAUUUUAAUUUGAAAUGUUAAAUUGUGUGUUUGACCAUUUUGCCCCUAUAUUUAAUCAGAUUUAUUUAUUUAAUGAUUAAAAAAUUAUUUUUUUGUCACAUCAG
rnacentral:lncRNA from 1 species